CUACGGGCGGCUGCAGUGGGGAAUAUUGGACAAUGGGGGAAACCCUGAUCCAGCAAUGCCGCGUGUGUGAAGAAGGCCUGCGGGUUGUAAAGCACUUUCGGUUGGGAGGACUGCUUCUAGCACUAAUAUUGUCGGAAGUUGACGUUACCUUCAGAAGAAGCACCGGCUAACUCCGUGCCAGCAGCCGCGGUAAUACAGAGGGUGCAAGCGUUAAUCGGAAUUACUGGGCGUAAAGCGCGCGUAGGCGGCUAGAUCAGUCGGGUGUGAAAGCCCCGGGCUUAACCUGGGAACUGCAUCCGAUACUGUCUAGCUUGAGUACAGGAGAGGAGAGUGGAAUUCCACAUGUAGCGGUGAAAUGCGUAGAUAUGUGGAGGAACACCAAUGGCGAAGGCAGCUCUCUGGCCUGAUACUGACGCUGAGGUGCGAAAGCGUGGGGAGCAAACAGGAUUAGAUACCCCGGUAGUC
rnacentral:rRNA from 1 species